rnacentral:rRNA from 1 species
GACGAACGCUGGCGGCGUGCCUAAUACAUGCAAGUCGAACGCAGUGGGGACGGGUUAGUAACACGUGGGUAACCUCCCAUCAGAGGGCAUAACACUUGGAAACAGGUGCUAAACCCAUACUGAUGGAAGGACCCUCGGUGCAUUAGCUAGUUGGUGGGGUAAAGGCCCACCCAGGCAACGCUGCAUAGCGGACUUGGUAGGUGUAUCGGCCAAACGUGGACUGAGACACGGCCCAGACUCCUACGGGAGGCAGCAGGGGGGAAUCUUCGGCAAUGGACGAAAGUCUGACCGAGCAACGCCGCGUGAGUGAAGAAGGUUUUCGGAUCGUAAAGCUCUGUUGUUAGAGAAGCGGUAUCUAACCAGAAAGCCACGGCUAACUACGUGCCAGCAGCCGCGGUAAUAC